CGAUCAGAAUCAAUGGUCUGGGGGCUGCUGCCUGGACGCACAACCUAACAGCCCUGUGCCACGACUGAUUUACUAUGGGCUUUCAGCUAACGUGAGCAAUAUCCCCCCUGCUCUGUUUGCAGACUGGUUGACUAUUCGGAUACCAUCAAUGAUGAAAAUGUUGAAGCCUCAAAAAGGAUGCGAUCACCUGCAUCAGAGUUCACACGCAUGGUCAAGUCACCACCAUCGGAUACCAGAGGCAAUAUCAGGUCAUCAUCUGUAGAUUUUGGCAGCAACUACUCAGUCCAGAAUCUUCAUGCAUAUGCUGAUGUCCAGAAGUCUGAUGCAUCCUUUUCCAAGUUCAGAAAUCAAAUACAAUCACGCAUUGGUGGUGCAUGUUCACCAUCACAACAGAUGUCUCAUCUUUCAGACUCCAAUGAACUAAACACGUUAGCUAUUUCUCCACCAAAGCCUUCUAUCCUUAGUGCUACCAGAAGAACAGGGAUCUCUUCUUUGGAUGCUACUGAUGAUGAUCAUUUGACCCCUUCAACUGAACUUGAGAGGGAGGAACAAGCAAAAGCCAAGCGGCUGGCUCGUUUCCAUGUUGAAUUAAGCAGGCCAGUACAAAAUACUAAUGAUUUUGUGAAAACAGUUAAAAGCUCUGCAGAUAAGUCCAAACAAGCCACAUCAGUGGGAAGAACUCCUUUGAGAACAAAUGAUGACACCGAUGACAAUACUUUGGUUGACAUGGAUUCCACAGCUUUGGCUGCAAUAGUUGGGCUUUGCCCUGAUAUGUGCCCAGAACCUGAGAGGGCAGAGCGUGAGAGAAAAGGAGAUCUUGAUAGGUAUGAAAGAUUGGACGGAGACAGAAACCUAACUACUGAGCUUCUCGCUGUUAAAAAGUAUAAUAGGACUGCUGAGAGAGAUGCAGACUUGAUAAGGCCUCUGCCAAUUUUACAGAAGACAAUGGAGUAUCUUCUUAGUUUGCUGGAUCACACAUAUGAUGACAGUUUCUUGGGCUUAUACAACUUCUUGUGGGAUAGGAUGCGAGCAAUAAGAAUGGAUCUUAGAAUGCAGCAUUUCUUCAAUCAAGAGGCUAUUUCUAUGCUUGAGAUAUAUAUCCCUGUUUUGUCAUGUGUUUAUUUCAUCAGCCACUAUGAAUUUAUUCUGUGGGCACCCUUAUUUCCUGGAAUGUUUCAUCUUGAAGCUGUCUUUUGUUGAGCAGAUAAGGCUCCACAUAAUUGCGAUGCAUGAAUUAUGUGAAUACAACAAAGGAGAAGGUUUUUCCGAGGGUUUUGAUGCACACCUCAACAUUGAGCAGAUGAAUAAAACAUCAGUUGAGCUAUUUCAAAUGUAUGAUGACCAUAGGAGAGAAGGUGUUCUCUUCUCAACAGAAAAGGAGUUUCGGGGUUAUUAUGCACUGCUCAAAUUAGACAAACAUCCUGGUUACAAGGUUGAACCUGCUGAGUUAUCUCUGGAUCUUGCUAAGAUGUCUCGUGAAAUUAGAGGCAGUCCAGAGAUCUUGUUUGCAAGAGAAGUUGCAAGAGCAUGCAGAAUGGGGAACUUUAUUUCCUUCUUCCGUCUUGCAAGGAAAGCUACAUAUUUGCAGGCCUGUUUGAUGCAUGCUCAUUUUGCAAAGCUAAGGAGGCAAGCACUCGCUUCCUUGCACAGUGGUCUUCAGAAUGGCCAAGGCAUCCCUAUUUCGCAGGUUGUGGUGUGGCUUGCUAUGGAGGACGAGGAUGUUGAAAAUCUAUUAGAAUACCAUGGUUUUGGGUUGAGGCAGUAUGAAGAACUGUACUUAGUCAAAGAAGGACCUUUUCUUAACAGUGAAAGUGAUUUCCCAUCUGGCUGUUCACAGCUUGUGCAUUCUAAAAAAUCGCAGAGGGUCGUUGAUGAUGUUUCUUCUGGGCCAGAUUGUGCUCCAACUAGCAAAGAAAAGACUGUCUUUCCAUAUACUGGUCAACCAGUUGCUGGCAAAAGAGAUCUAUUUCUACCACAGAAUGCUCCUGCGAUUCCUCCUGAUGGCAGAAUGGAUUUGGAUCCAUCAUUUCCUGGGCCUAUUUCAAUCACUCCUGACAGACAGAUUAGCCCAUUGUUUUCAGAUCCUUUCUCUCCAAGAGCUGCCAGCAAACUAUUCAGUUCAACACAUCCAAAGCCUCUCUCCCCAACUGAUGGUAGAAAAGACAGGUUUUCAUCUGUCCUUACUGCUGUUUCUCCACGUACUGGCAAGAGGGACAUACUGUCAAAAACACCAAAAGUAGCUUCACCAAAAGCUGAAGGCAAGACCAAAUUGGUUAAUGGCCUUAUAGCUGAAGACCAGGAUAGUGGUGUUGCUGAGAUCCCUCAGAAGGUAGAGAUGCAAACAGACAUACUGUGGUCACAAGCUAACACGCAAAACGCCAAUGCUCUGGCAGAACCAAUUAUUUCACAUCCUCUUGCAGAUAGCAUGUCUUUAAAUUACUCCAGUAUGUAUGGAGCGGAAGAUGACUUCAGGGCACAUGUUUCUGGCAUCGGUGCAGAUAUGGAUGAGGGAACUCCACCAGAUCAUGAAUGUCUGGUUAUUGGAGCUGGAUUGCCUAUUAGCUCCCCUUUGUCCUAUCAUGAGGAAUAUGAGGAUCAUAGUAUUAGUAACGGCACAAAUGAUGAUUGGUUACCAAUUGUUAUGCCCGCAAAGAAACUAAUUUCUGAUGAAAACCUGAAAGCAAUACUGAGGAAAUGGAGGCAGCAUGCUGCUGACAAGCGAUUACUUAGGGAGCAGAAGAAUGCUCUUGCUGUUGCAGCAUUGUGUUCUCUAUCACUUGGCCCACCAGUUCAUAAAAGUACAACGGUGUCUAAGCUAGCAGUUGAAGAACUAGAUAUUGGCCACGCCUUUAAAGAAAGACAAGCAAGAAAGCAAAGGUCCUGGUCACGGCUAAAUGUUUCGGAGCUGUCUGGUCCCAUUCUAAAUGAAAAUAACCCUGAUGCUAGAUGCCUCUGCUGGAAGUUGCUUGUACUUGUUCCACCGGGUAUGGAAUCCCAGACCAACAGUUUUGUCUCAAAAUGGUUACUUAGAAAGCUCAUGGGUUAUGGAAUCGGAGAUAUUGGAUUGGUUGUUUCUUCAGCAGGCCUAUCAAUUUGGACAGAGUGGAUCAGUUUUCCAAAUGCAUGUUGUUUGUCUGUUGUUAGGGCCAGCGAUCAGCAAGUUAUUGAUAAUGAUAUUGCUAACAGUACAAGCUGUAUAGUAUUUGUAGUGUCUGAAAGCAUUUCAUGGGAAAUGCAGAAGGAACGGUUUAACAGUCUUUUAGCCUACAUACCAGAUGAAUCCAAUCUUCCCCUUCUGAUUUUCAGUGGCGAUACAUAUAACGAAGGAUAUGAGUAUGCGUCAAAGUACAUCAUCAACAGGCUUGGCCUCAAUGGUCUUAACAGAGGAAAGAUCGGUUUGUCUUUGGUUAUUUUUCUUGUUGAAAACUACACAGAAGACCAUGCCAAUGGUUUCUUUGAUGAUGACAAACUGCGUGAGGGCCUGAAGUGGCUGGUAAGUAGUUUGCCAGUGCAGCCUGAUGUCACUCUUGUGAAGACCCAUGAAUUGCUUCUGGAAUACUUGAAUCCACAACUUGAGCUGCUUAACACCCAUGUUGCACCUGGAGCUGGUCCUGGCGAUUGCAUUUCAGUAUUCAACAAUGCUGUCAAUCAACUUGCAGAAGAGAUUUUGGCUGCAGCAAACACAAACUGUAGCCAAUGGCCAGCUCCCGAGAUUGGUCUUCUGGAGAGAACAAGCAAUGAGAGGAUAUAUGCAGAAAUGUCCUUGCCUAGCAUUGGAUGGUCUUCGCCAUCAAGGAUCCAGCCACUGCUUGCAGCCAUUAAUAGCUGCAAGAUUCCAGAGUUCAGUUACGAUCUAUCUUGGCUAAACCAUGGUUCUCACAUGGGCAAGCAGAUCCAGGAUCAGAAGAAGUUACUUGAGGAGUGCUUGGCGAGAUACUUGACCGAAUCAGCCCGGCUGUUAGAUGAAAGCCAGGUGGUCACCGAAGUGAAUGUUAUGGUGCAGAAUUGUGUUGGCCUUGAACUCCGGGAUUCGUCUUACUAUCUCGCUCCCAGAUGGGUGGCGAUCUUCCGUCGUAUUUACAACUGGAGGCUAGCAAAGCUCUCUACCGGAAAGUUCUCAGAAGCUUAUGUUCUGACUCAGCACCUGUAUCAGGCUCCUGCAGCAGCUGGCUCAAAUGGUACCACACAAGGGCUUACUGCUAACACCGCCAGCAGCGAUGCUGUGGAUCACAUCAUGAUGCCUGCUGUUUCAACCGGCAUCACACUAGACGAAAUCAUUGAGAUCAGUUGUGACCUCGAUGCUGUUGAUGCGCAGCCCGUAACUCUGGCACCACGACUGCCUGUGCAUGUUCAUGAAGAACCUCAGGCACUUGCUGACAACAACGGCGUGCAUGGAGUUGAUGAAAUGUACAUACCAAGAAGAGUAGAGUUGGGAGAGGUGAUGCCCAUCGAGACAGACGACAAGCUUUCCCAGCUAAGAGUAGAGUUGGGCGAGGUGAUGCCCAUCGAGACGGACGACAAGCUUUCCCGGCUACUGGAGCAGUGCACCAAGCUGCAGGACAGGAUCGAUGAGACACUUUCCAUAUACUUUUGAGCCCCGUAGUAAGGCUGGAAGGGUUUUGUUACACCAUCCUUCCACAUUUGUUGUAACUUGUAAAACUAGAUUUUGUGGAAGUGAAAACUAACACUGCCAAGUUAAAGCGUUCUUGUUUCGCAGGAAUGAAAUAUAGAAGCGUCAUUUUUCUUCUCGAA